AUACCUUUCUCGGCCUUUUGGCUAAGAUCGAGUGUAGUAUCUGUUCUUAUCAGUUUAAUUAAUAUCUACUACGUGGACCAUUGGUUCACAUGAUAUUAAAUUAAUUUUUUUAAGAGGAGAGCCCACUGCAGUAGCUUGCUACUGGGGUCCUCGAGUGUCGCCCAUGCGUUGCAGUGCUGUGCGGGCCAGGCGCACCCCAU
rfam:Jatropha curcas cultivar GZQX0401 scaffold251_37, whole genome shotgun sequence.